ACGCUCGACACCUACGGGAGACAGCAGUGAGGAAUAUUGGUCAAUGGACGCAAGUCUGAACCAGCCAUGCCGCGUGCAGGAUGACGGCUCUAUGAGUUGUAAACUGCUUUUGUACGAGGGUAAACGCAGAUACGUGUAUCUGUCUGAAAGUAUCGUACGAAUAAGGAUCGGCUAACUCCGUGCCAGCAGUCGCGGUAAUCUGAGCGGGCUGGCAAGGC
rnacentral:rRNA from 1 species